UACGGAGGAUGCGAGCGUUAUCCGGAUUUAUUGGGUUUAAAGGGUGCGCAGGCGGAUUUUUAAGUCAGCGGUCAAAUCGUGGGGCUCAACCCCAUCCAGCCGUUGAAACUGGGGAUCUAGAGUGUGCGAGAGGUAUGCGGAAUGCGUGGUGUAGCGGUGAAAUGCAUAGAUAUCACGCAGAACCCCGAUUGCGAAGGCAGCAUACCGGUGCACAACUAACGCUCAGGCACGAAAGCGUGGGUAUCGAACAGG
rnacentral:rRNA from 1 species